rnacentral:rRNA from 1 species
CGUGUAGGCGGCCGAAUAAGUCGGGCGUGAAAGCCCUGGGCUUAACCCAGGAAGUGCGUUCGAUACUGUUUGGCUUGAGUACGGGAGAGGGUAGUGGAAUUCCCGGUGUAGAGGUGAAAUUCGUAGAUAUCGGGAGGAACACCAGUGGCGAAGGCGGCUACCUGGACCGAUACUGACGCUGAGACGCGAAAGCGUGGGGAGCAAACAGGAUUAGAUACCCUGGUAGUC